ACUGGAAUUGUGAUUUUGGGGUGUUUUUUGCAGGCGGGUGCUGGGGCGGCUGCUGUCGCUGCUGCGCUGCCCGGACACGGAGCUGAGGAGGGGAAUUGUGGGGGCGCUCAGGAACUGCUGCUUCCAGCACGAGAACCACGAGAGGCUGCUGAGCCCUGAGGUGGAGGCGCUGCCGCUGCUGCUGCUGCCCCUGGCCGGCCCCGAGGAGCUGCCCGAGCAUGAGAUGGAGCAGCUGCCCGUGGAUCUGCAGUUUGGGGAUUGUGUUGGGAAUUUUUUGGAGAUUUUUUGGGGGAUUUUUUGGUGAUUUUUUGGGGGAUUUUGUUGGGAAUUUUUUGGGAAUAUUUUGGGGAAUAUUUUGGGAUUUUUGGGUCCAUCCCAAAUGUAUUUUUCCCGUUGCAGAGCUGCCGGUGGAUCUGCAGUUUGGGGGUUUUGUUGGGAAUUUUUUUGGGAUUUUAUUGGGAAUUUUUUGGGGGAUUUUGUUGGGAAUUUUUUUUGGGAUUUUUGUGGGGAUUUUUUAGGAAUUUUUUGGGAAUAUUUGGGAAUUUUUGGGACCAUCCCCAAUCUAUUUGUUCCCAUUUCAGAGCUGCCCCUGGAUCUGCAGUUUGGGGAUUUUGUUGGGAAUUUUUAGGAGAUUUUUUUGGGAAUGUUUUGGGGAUUUUUUGGGGAUUUUUGUGGGGUUUUUUUAGGAAUUUUUUGGGAAUAUUUUGCGGAAUUUUUGGGUCCAUCCCCAGUUUAUUUUUCCCUUUCCCGUUUCAGAGCUGCCCCUGGAUCUGCACUUUGGGGAUUGUGUUGGGAAUUUUUUGGGGAUUUUUUAGGUGGUUUUUUUGGGAAUUUUUUGGGGAUUUUUUUUUUUGG
rnacentral:lncRNA from 1 species